rnacentral:rRNA from 1 species
UCAGGUGGCCGCAGAGAAUAGGCCCAAGCGACUGUUUACCAAAAACAUAGGUUUCUGCUAAGUCGCAAGACGAUGUAUAGGAGCUGACGCCUGCCCGGUGCUGGAAGGGUAAGGGGAUCUGUUAGAGUAAUCGAAGCAGUGAACUUAAGCCCCAGUAAACGGCGGCCGUAACUAUAACGGUCCUAAGGUAGCGAAAUUCCUUGUCGGGUAAGUUCCGACCCGCACGAAAGGCGUAACGAUUUGGGCACUGUCUCA